GUUGCAAAAGAAGUAGGUAGCUUAACCUUCGGGAGGGCGCUUACCACUUUGUGAUUCAUGACUGGGGUGAAGUCGUAACAAGGUAACCGUAGGGGAACCUGCGGUUGGAUCACCUCCUUACCAAAAAAGAUGUGUGUUAAGUGAAGUGCUCACACAGAUUGUCUGAUGAA
rnacentral:rRNA from 1 species